UACGUAGGGUGCGAGCGUUAAUCGGAAUUACUGGGCGUAAAGCGUGCGCAGGCGGUUUUGUAAGCCAGAUGUGAAAUCCCCGGGCUUAACCUGGGAAUGGCAUUUGGGACUGCAAGGCUGGAGUUUGGCAGAGGAGACUGGAAUUCCUGGUGUAGCAGUGAAAUGCGUAGAUAUCAGGAGGAAUACCGAUGGCGAAGGCAGGUCUCUGGGCUAUAACUGACGCUCAUGCACGAAAGCGUGGGGAGCAAGCAGG
rnacentral:rRNA from 1 species